rnacentral:rRNA from 1 species
GGACCAUCAUGUUGGUCGUGCCUUGGUACGUACUAGUUUAUUGGUUUCUUCCUUCUGACGAACCAUGAUGUCAUUUAUUUGGUGUCGUGGGAAAUCAGGACUGUUACUUUGAAAAAAUUAGAGUGUUUAAAGCAGGCUCGCGCUUGAAUACAUUAGCAUGGAAUAAUGAAAUAGGACGUUCGAUCCUAUUUUGUUGGUUUCUAGGAUUGACGUA